UACAGAGGGUGCGAGCGUUAAUCGGAAUUACUGGGCGUAAAGCGUGCGUAGACGGUUAUCUAAGUCGGAUGUGAAAGCCCCGGGCUCAACCUGGGAAGUGCACUCGAUACUGCUUGGCUAGAGUGUCGGAGAGGUUGGUGGAAUUCUCGGUGUAGAGGUGAAAUUCGUAGAUAUCGAGAGGAACACCGGUGGCGAAGGCGGCCAACUGGACGAACACUGACGCUGAGACACGAAAGCGUGGGGAGCAAACAGG
rnacentral:rRNA from 1 species